CCGUAGCCUCGACAAUAGCGCAGCGGCCACUCCAGUCCCAGACCAGGGAGAGCAGACCAGCUGAGAUUCAGAGAUCAGCUCUAUUGUUUAUUCUUCUAGAAAUUGGUUUGGAAUGCUUGCGGCUGUAGUAGCGGUGGCGGCCGCCUGGAGCGCUGUGGUGCACGCUGGGCCCUGCUGGAACCUGACCCACCCAGAAUGCUGGUUCUCGGGUCGGGCGCUCCUGCACGGCGGCCCCUCGCAGCUGGGCGACUUCCACGGCUGCGUGGACAGGCUGCGCCAGCAGUACUGCCUGCUCUCCCUGCGCCUCGGUCCCGCCGUCGACUCCCG